rnacentral:rRNA from 1 species
AACGAACGCUGGCGGCAGGCUUAACACAUGCAAGUCGAGCGCCCCGCAAGGGGAGCGGCAGACGGGUGAGUAACGCGUGGGAACGUACCCUUUGCUACGGAAUAGCUCCGGGAAACUGGAAUUAAUACCGUAUGUGCCCUACGGGGGAAAGAUUUAUCGGCAAAGGAUCGGCCCGCGUUGGAUUAGCUAGUUGGUGGGGUAAUGGCCUACCAAGGCGACGAUCCAUAGCUGGUCUGAGAGGAUGAUCAGCCACAUUGGGACUGAGACACGGCCCAAACUCCUACGGGAGGCAGCAGUGGGGAAUAUUGGACAAUGGGCGCAAGCCUGAUCCAGCCAGGCCGCGUGAGGGAUGAAGGCCUUAGGGUUGUAAAGCUCUUUCACCGGAGAAGAUAAUGACGGUAUCCGGAGAAGAAGCCCCGGCUAACUUCGUGCCAGCCGCCGCGGUAAUAC